rnacentral:rRNA from 1 species
GAUGAACGCUAGCGGCAGGCCUAAUACAUGCAAGUCGAGGGAGAAUGUUGGAUUCGUCUGACAUGAAACCGGCGCACGGGUGCGUAACACGUAUGCAACCUACCUUUAACUGGGGUAUAGCUCAGAGAAAUCUGAAUUAAUCCCCCAUAAGACUACGACAUGGCAUCAUGAUGUAGUUAAAGCUCCGGCGGUUAAGGAUGGGCAUGCGGUACAUUAGCUAGUUGGUGAGGUAAUGGCUCACCAAGGCUACGAUGUAUCGGGUGUCUGAGAGGAUGAUCCCCCACACAGGAACUGAGACACGGACCAGAGUCCUACUGGAGGCAGCAGUAGGGAAUAUUGAUCAAUGUACGCAAGGUUGACCCAGCCAUGCCGCGUGAAGGAUGAAGGCCCUAUGAGUCGUAAACUUCUUUUAUUCGGAAAGAAAAAACGGGAUGCGUCCUGUACUGACGGUACUUAAUGAAUAAGGAUCGGCUAACUUCGUGCCAGCAGCCGCCGUAA